rnacentral:pre_miRNA from 1 species
UUUAAGUUCAGUUGUAAUUUCUGUCCAAUGCUUGACCAUUCGUUAUAUUUGAAUUUUGUUAUGAUUAGUGUUUUUUUUAUUAAAUGAUAAAACAUGAAUAUUAUUUUAUGUGUGAUUUUUUUAAUUUUUUUAUUUUUUUUAAAUAAGAUGGACGGUUAAACAUACACACAGAAACUGAUAACUGCACUCAAA